rnacentral:rRNA from 1 species
CUGGCGGCGUGCCUAAUACAUGCAAGUCGAGCGAAUGAUUAGAGAAGCUUGCUCUCUCUGAUUAGCGGCGGACGGGUGAGUAACACGUGGGUAACCUACCCUAUAGACUGGGAUAACUUCGGGAAACCGGAGCUAAUACCGGAUAAUACUUCGAAACACAUGUUUUGAAGUUGAAAGAUGGUUUCGGCUAUCACUAUAGGAUGGACCCGCGGCGCAUUAGCUAGUUGGUGAGGUAACGGCUCACCAAGGCAACGAUGCGUAGCCGACCUGAGAGGGUGAUCGGCCACACUGGGACUGAGACACGGCCCAGACUCCUACGGGAGGCAGCAGUAGGGAAUCUUCCACAAUGGACGAAAGUCUGAUGGAGCAACGCCGCGUGAGUGAAGAAGGAUUUCGGUUCGUAAAACUCUGUUGCAAGGGAAGAACAAGUAGCGUAGUAACUGGCGCUACCUUGACGGUACCUUGUUAGAAAGCCACGGCUAACUACGUGCCAGCCGCAGC